AUUGAACGCUGGCGGCAGGCCUAACACAUGCAAGUCGAGCGGAUGAGGGAAGCUUGCUUCCCGAUUUAGCGGCGGACGGGUGAGUAAUGCCUAGGAAUCUGCCUAUUAGUGGGGGAUAACGUUCCGAAAGGAACGCUAAUACCGCAUACGUCCUACGGGAGAAAGUGGGGGAUCUUCGGACCUCACGCUAAUAGAUGAGCCAAGGUCGGAUUAGCUAGUUGGUGAGGUAACGGCUCACCAAGGCGACGAUCCGUAGCUGGUCUGAGAGGAUGAUCAGCCACACUGGAACUGAGACACGGUCCAGACUCCUACGGGAGGCAGCAGUGGGGAAUAUUGGACAAUGGGCGAAAGCCUGAUCCAGCCAUGCCGCGUGUGUGAAGAAGGUCUUCGGAUUGUAAAGCACUUUAAGUUGGGAGGAAGAGUUGUAAGCUAAUAUCUUGCAGCUUUGACGUUACCAACAGAAUAAGCACCAGCUAACUCUGUGCCAGCCGCCGCCGUAAUAC
rnacentral:rRNA from 1 species